AUGGUUGCGGUGAUUAUAAAAGUAAUUCCUCGUACUGAAUGCCUGAUUGGCAUGACAGACUCAUAUUACACCCAUAGAAUAUGAGCAACC
rfam:Daucus carota subsp. sativus cultivar DH1 chromosome 6, whole genome shotgun sequence.